AAGUUUUGACGCAAUUUAACUAUGUAUAGGUGCAUGAUUGAGUUUAGCAGGUGUUAGCAGUGGACUGUGAAUGGCAGGGAGAACAGUCCUAUAUAUAUAUAUACAUAUAUAUUAGAAUGAGAAACAAUAGCCAUUGGUUCGAAGUCAAACAACAUUGAGGCUAACAACGAAUGAGCGGGUCAGCGUUCAACCAAACGAAUGUUCGAAAUAUCAUCAGCUUUGUUUUAUAUGUUGUCUUCUGCAAAAAAAAAA
rnacentral:lncRNA from 1 species